rnacentral:rRNA from 1 species
AGAGUUUGAUCAUGGCUCAGAACGAACGCUGGCGGCAGGCUUAACACAUGCAAGUCGAGCGCCGUAGCAAUACGGAGCGGCAGACGGGUGAGUAACGCGUGGGAACAUACCCCUUGGUUCGGAAUAACUCAGGGAAACUUGAGCUAAUACCGGAUACGGUCGAGAGACGAAAGAUUCAUCGCCGAGGGAUUGGCCCGCGU